rnacentral:rRNA from 1 species
AUACGGAGGGGGCAAGCGUUAUUCGGAAUCACUGGGCGUAAAGGACGCGUAGGCGGGUUGGCAAGUCAGAUGUGAAAUCCUACAGCUUAACUGUAGAACUGCAUUUGAAACUGCUAACCUAGAGUAUGGGAGGGGGAGAUGGAAUUAGUGGUGUAGGGGUAAAAUCCGUAGAUAUCACUAGGAAUACCGAAAGCGAAGGCGAUCUCCUGGAACAUAACUGACGCUAAGGCGUGAAAGCGUGGGGAGCAAACAGGAUUAGAAACCCUAGUAGUCC